rnacentral:rRNA from 1 species
GUGGGGAAUUGUUCGCAAUGGGCGCAAGCCUGACGACGCAACGCCGCGUGGAGGAUGAAGGUCUUCGGAUUGUAAACUCCUGUUGAUCGGGACGAAAAGCUCCAACCCAAUACGUUGGAGACUGACGGUACCGGUUGAGGAAGCCACGGCUAACUCUGUGCCAGCAGCCGCGGUAAUACAGAGGUGGCAAGCGUUGUUCGGAAUUACUGGGCGUAAAGGGCGCGUAGGCGGCCUCCUAAGUCGGACGUGAAAGCCCCAGGCUUAACCUGGGAACUGCGUCUGAUACUGGGAGGCUUGGAUUCGGGAGAGGGAUGUGGAAUUCCAGGUGUAGCGGUGAAAUGCGUAGAUAUCUGGAGGAACACCGGUGGCGAAGGCGGCAUCCUGGACCGAGAUCGACGCUGAGGCGCGAAAGCUAGGGGAGCAAACGGGAUUAGAUACCCGAGUAGUCC